CUUGUUCUAAUAAAUUUGAGAUCAAAGAAAUAUGGUAUCUGAAGUUUAUGGAGCAGGGAGGUUUAGCUCUCUGUCCUACAGACAGAACACUUUAUUCCCUUGCAUAAUUGGGUGAUAAAUCUUCUGUCUUUUGGGAAUGGUGGCUGUAUGUUGUGUUUAGCAUUUGCUUGAGCCUUAAGUACGUGAACAGGUCUCUGGGGGGGGG